GUCCAUGUUGCGGCGGACCAGAGCCAGAACGCCCCGAGCGUAAUGGCAGCGGCCGGCCAGAAUCUCGUCGUCAUGACGAGCAGGCCGGCCGU
rnacentral:sRNA from 1 species